CCUACGGGCGGCAGCAGUGGGGAAUAUUGGGCAAUGGGCGCAAGCCUGACCCAGCAACGCCGCGUGAAGGAAGAAGGCUCUCGGGUUGUAAACUUCUUUUAUCAGGGACGAAGCAAGUGACGGUACCUGAUGAAUAAGCCACGGCUAACUACGUGCCAGCAGCCGCGGUAAUACGGAGGUGGCAAGCGUUAUCCGGAUUUACUGGGUGUAAAGGGCGUGUAGGCGGGAAAGGAAGUCAGAUGUGAAAACCCUGGGCUCAACCUGUGGCCUGCAUUUGGAACUGGUGUUCUUGAGUGCUGGAGAGGCAGGCGGAAUUCCUGGUGUAGCGGUGAAAUGCGUAGAUAUUAAGAGGAACACCGAUGGCGAAGGCGGUCUGCUGGA
rnacentral:rRNA from 1 species